rnacentral:lncRNA from 12 species
CUCGGCGGUCUCAGCCCACGAGAAGGGAGAAAGCAUCGCCUCGGAGCCCUGCAGCGCCUUUUCCAGGGGCCUGAAACCACACCUGGAGCGUCUGACUCCCUGCUGUACUCAAAAUUACGCCCUCCAAAAGUGAGGCCUGAUUUUCCUCAGGGGUGAGCUUUCUUGCAGGAGGUGCCCCGUCCCAUGUGGCAGGCCCAGCCCCUCCCCUCCCAAUGGAAAACUGGCAGAAAGGCAGAUGCCUCCUGGGAGAGAAAGGACAAGACUCCACUUCUUCCUGUGUAGGAUUUGAAGGUAUUAAGAACUUUUGGAAGGUUCCCGCCAGAUUCCUUCUAACACCCUUGGUCCCUGGGUGCCCAGGGGCACGGCGCACCCCGUCUGCCACUCACCAUCUCUGGACACAUUUGUGGAGGCUGCGGCGCAUUUUUCAUGACUUUCUGAAAAGUCAGGGAAUGUCUUUCCCCCAAAGCCAGGGAAGGAUGGAAGGAAGGAAGAAAGGAAGCUCCAAGAACAAAAGGAGUAAAAUAACCGUUUGCAUCUGGAGAGACCUGGGCCCUGAGGUUGGGGCUUCCACUCUCCUGUGGAUGAAGAAAUAGAGGUACAGGGAAACUCUGGCGUGCUCAAGUUCCCGUGGUAGGACUAGAACCCUGGCUUCUCACUGCCCCUGGCCCAGGGCUCUGCCCUGAGCUCUUGGCUCGUGCGUGGGCUGUGGGCCUGGCAGGGAUAAUCCGGGGCGUGGGGCUGGGCGUCGGGAGAAAUGCCUCGCCUCGUCCUGGAGGUGGGAGUAGAGGCCGGGCCGGGAAAAUGUGGCUAAAACCCAGUU